CCACUCCUUCGCAGCCUCCUCGUCCUUCAUCUUGAAGGCUUCUUCUGCUCGGGCAUAUCCUUCGGCCCGAGCCAGCAAAUUAGCAAAGUCCCUGAGAUAUUUUUUUUUCAGAGAAAAUAGAAGAUCGUUCUUUUGAAGACCGCCCUUCAGGGCGGCCAUUGCGAUCGAUUGGUCCAAGUUUCAGACCUCCAACGCGGCGACGUUAAAACGGUUA
rnacentral:lncRNA from 1 species